UACAGAGGUCUCAAGCGUUGUUCGGAUUCAUUGGGCGUAAAGGGUGCGUAGGCGGCGCGGUAAGUCGGGUGUGAAAUCUCGGAGCUUAACUCCGAAACUGCAUUCGAUACUGCCGUGCUUGAGGACUGGAGAGGAGACUGGAAUUUACGGUGUAGCGGUGAAAUGCGUAGAUAUCGUAAGGAAGACCAGUGGCGAAGGCGGGUCUCUGGACAGUUCCUGACGCUGAAGCACGAAGGUCAGGGGAGCAAACGGG
rnacentral:rRNA from 1 species